AUUGAACGUUGGCGGCAUGCUUUACACAUGCAAGUCGAGCGGCAGCGCGGGGGCAACCCUGGCGGCGAGCGGCGAACGGGUGAGUAAUGCAUCGGAACGUAUCCUCGAGUGGGGGAUAACCCAGCGAAAGUUGGGCUAAUACCGCAUGAGCUCUGAGGAGGAAAGCGGGGGACCUGCGAGGGCCUCGCGCUGGAGGAGCGGCCGAUGUCCGAUUAGCUAGUUGGUGGGGUAAAGGCUUACCAAGGCGACGAUCGGUAGCUGGUCUGAGAGGAUGAUCAGCCACACUGGGACUGAGACACGGCCCAGACUCCUACGGGAGGCAGCAGUGGGGAAUUUUGGACAAUGGGGGCAACCCUGAUCCAGCCAUGCCGCGUGAGUGAAGAAGGCCUUCGGGUUGUAAAGCUCUUUCGGACGGAACGAAAUGGGCGGGACUAAUACUCCUGUCUGAUGACGGUACCGUAAGAAGAAGCACCGGCUAACUACGUG
rnacentral:rRNA from 1 species